rnacentral:rRNA from 1 species
AUGCAAGUCGAACGCUGAAGCACCAGCUUGCUGGUGUGGAUGAGUGGCGAACGGGUGAGUAAUACGUGAGUAACCUGCCCUUGACUCUGGGAUAAGCCCGGGAAACUGGGUCUAAUACUGGAUGCUACAUGUCACCGCAUGGUGGUGUGUGGAAAGGGUUUACUGGUCUUGGAUGGGCUCACGGCCUAUCAGCUUGUUGGUGAGGUAAUGGCUCACCAAGGCGACGACGGGUAGCCGGCCUGAGAGGGUGACCGGCCACACUGGGACUGAGACACGGCCCAGACUCCUACGGGAGGCAGCAGUGGGGAAUAUUGCACAAUGGGCGAAAGCCUGAUGCAGCGACGCCGCGUGAGGGAUGACGGCCUUCGGGUUGUAAACCUCUUUCAGCAGGGAAGAAGCCACAAGUGACGGUACCUGCAGAAGAAGCGCCGGCUAACUACGUGCCAGCAGCCGCGGUAAUACGUAGGGCGCAAGCGUUGUCCGGAAUUAUUGGGCGUAAAGAGCUCGUAGGCGGUUUGUCGCGUCUGCUGUGAAAGCCCGGGGCUUAACCCCGGGUGUGCAGUGGGUACGGGCAGACUAGAGUGCAGUAGGGGAGACUGGAAUUCCUGGUGUAGCGGUGGAAUGCGCAGAU